AACAAACGCUGGCGGCGUGCCUAAUACAUGCAAGUCGAACGGGGAAAGCUUUCGGGUGAGUACUAGUGGCACACGGGUGAGUAACGCGCGGAUAAUCUGCCCUCGAAUGGGGAAUAACUAGUCGAAAGAUUAGCUAAUACCGCAUAAGACCACGACUACUGAGGUAGUUGGGGUCAAAGGAGCAAUUCGUUUGAGGAUGAGUCCGCGUAAGAUUAGCUAGUUGGUGAGGUAAUGGCUCACCAAGGCGAUGAUCUUUAACUGGUCUGAGAGGAUGAUCAGUCACACUGGAACUGAGACACGGUCCAGACUCCUACGGGAGGCAGCAGUAGGGAAUAUUGGACAAUGGGGGCAACCCUGAUCCAGCGACGCCGCGUGAGCGAUGAAGGCCUUCGGGUCGUAAAGCUCUGUUGUAAGGGAAAAAGUUCUGAUUGUACCUUACGAGAAAGGAUCGGCUAACUUCGUGCCAGCCGCCGCUGUAA
rnacentral:rRNA from 1 species